AUUGAACGCUGGCGGCAGGCCUAACACCUGCAAGUCGGGCGAGCGGCCGACGGGUGAGUAAUGUAUGGGGAUCUGCCUGAUGGAGGGGGAUAACUACUGGAAACUGUAGCCAAUACCGCGUACCAUAGGAUGAGCCCAAGUGGGAUUAGGUAGUUGGUGAGGUAAAGGCUCCACAAGCCGACGAUCUCUAGCUGGUCUGAGAGGAUGACCAGCCACACUGGAACUGAGACACGGCCCAGACUCCUACGGGAGGCAGCAGUGGGGAAUAUUGCGCAAUGGGGGCAACCUGACGCAGCCAUGCCGCGUGAAUGAAGAAGGCCUUCGGGUUGUAAAGUUCUUUCGGUAGCGAGGCGUUAACUACAGAAGAAGCACCGGCUAACUCCGUGCCAGCAGCCGCGGUAAUAC
rnacentral:rRNA from 1 species